rnacentral:pre_miRNA from 1 species
GUAGAGGAGAUGAUGCAGGGGACAUAGGCUAUGACCUGGGGAUCCCUGGGCCCUCAGACAUGUGUCCUCUUCUCCCCCCUCCCAG